UAUAGAUGGAUCCGCGCUGCAUUAGCUAGUUGGUAAGGUAACGGCUUACCAAGGCAACGAUGCAUAGCCGACCUGAGAGGGUGAUCGGCCACACUGGAACUGAGACACGGUCCAGACUCCUACGGGAGGCAGCAGUAGGGAAUCUUCCGCAAUGGGCGAAAGCCUGACGGAGCAACGCCGCGUGAGUGAUGAAGGUCUUCGGAUCGUAAAACUCUGUUAUUAGGGAAGAACAUAUGUGUAAGUAACUGUGCACAUCUUGACGGUACCUAAUCAGAAAGCCACGGCUAACUACGUGCCAGCAGCCGCGGUAAUACGUAGGUGGCAAGCGUUAUCCGGAAUUAUUGGGCGUAAAGCGCGCGUAGGCGGUUUUUUAAGUCUGAUGUGAAAGCCCACGGCUCAACCGUGGAGGGUCAUUGGAAACUGGAAAACUUGAGUGCAGAAGAGGAAAGUGGAAUUCCAUGUGUAGCGGUGAAAUGCGCAGAGAUAUGGAGGAACACCAGUGGCGAAGGCGACUUUCUGGUCUGUAACUGACGCUGAUGUGCGAAAGCGUGGGGAUCAAACAGGAUUAGAUACCCUGGUAGUCCACGCCGUAAACGAUGAGUGCUAAGUGUUAGGGGGUUUCCGCCCCUUAGUGCUGCAGCUAACGCAUUAAGCACUCCGCCUGGGGAGUACGACCGCAAGGUUGAAACUCAAAGGAAUUGACGGGGACCCGCACAAGCGGUGGAGCAUGUGGUUUAAUUCGAAGCAACGCGAAGAACCUUACCAAAUCUUGACAUCCUUUGACAACUCUAGAGAUAGAGCCUUCCCCUUCGGGGGACAAAGUGACAGGUGGUGCAUGGUUGUCGUCAGCUCGUGUCGUGAGAUGUUGGGUUAAGUCCCGCAACGAGCGCAACCCUUAAGCUUAGUUGCCAUCAUUAAGUUGGGCACUCUAAGUUGACUGCCGGUGACAAACUGGAGGAAGGUGGGGAUGACGUCAAAUCAUCAUGCCCCUUAUGAUUUGGGCUACACACGUGCUACAAUGGACAAUACAAAGGGCAGCGAAACCGCGAGGUCAAGCAAAUCCCAUAAAGUUGUUCUCAGUUCGGAUUGUAGUCUGCAACUCGACUACAUGAAGCUGGAAUCGCUAGUAAUCGUAGAUCAGCAUGCUACGGUGAAUACGUUCCCGGGUCUUGUACACACCGCCCGUCACACCACGAGAGUUUGUAACACCCGAAGCCGGUGGAGUAACCUUUUAGGAGCUAGCCGUCGAAGGUGGGACAAAUGAUUGGGGUGAAGUCGUAACAAGGUAGCCGUAUCGGAAGGUGCGGCUGGAUCACCUCCUUU
rnacentral:rRNA from 1 species